GUGAUAGCUUUGCACAGGAAAAUACUUUAGGCAGAGGAAUGCAGGGCAUGGAAAACAAUUGAUAUGCCUGUAUCUUGUCCUUGUCUCUGGCUCCACAGGUGGGAGGGUGGAGAGAGUACUUCCUUUGGCCCACAUGAGGAGGAAAGAGCAGAUUAGCAGGGCCGAUGGAAUACAGGACUCGUCCAACUUGGUACAUGCAGAUAAGAUCUGACACUGCAAGACCUCAGACUACCUGGCUGAGGGAGAACAGUCAGCCAGCAAGAAGCACCAAGUGAUGGGAAAGGAAAAUUUGGCAAUGGUCAGGGAAGAUUCUACUUGCAAAAGAAAAAGAAAAGUCUCCUUUGGAUCGUGACAGCCAGGUCAUGGCUGAUUUACAGACAGCAGCAAAAAAGCCAUCUGAAGGCCAGUCCAACCAACUCUGCAGACCUCAGUGCUGUGACUUGGCACAGCAAGCCCAUGCCAUAGGUAUACAAGAUUUACAACAAACUGGAAAUACCCAGCAUCUGCUCAGCAAUAACAAGAUCAGCAGCCAUAUGUGAUUUGAAGCCAAGGCCUAAAGAAGCCCCACCUUUCUCCCCCCAAACAGGUUUUACAAACUCUGUUUCCAAAGGAGAGGGAUUUUACAAUGACAACAACAGCAGGAAUGAGGAUAUAACUAAGCAAAGAGAUUGGACAACUGAGAAUAUAAUUUGCAAUAAAAGAGCUUAUGAGCUACUUCCAAUGGCAUUUACAGAAUCUCCGCUCAGGGAUUCUUACACUGAUGUCAACUCACAGAUCCUACACUACAGACAAACUCCCCUUUAAAAGUUUGCAUAUACAGAUGUUUUAAAAUACUUAAUGACAUAGUUUCAGGCUACACUUUUAUAAUCAGAUGUAAUUGUCAAUAUUUGCUGAUUUAAGGAUUCUGGCAGAAGACAACAAAGCAUUCCCUCUAGGAAGUUGGAGUCUUCAUAGUGGAAAAUAUCAUGGCAGUAAUCCAAAGCUGGUACUAACAUUUCACCCUUCCCACACUGGCAUUUUAUUCAUCUGAAAGCUGGCCAAGCUGUAAUUGCUGGAGCUUUCAGCAGCCGUGUCAUCUAGCCACACUCACACAAAAGAGGGCAGUUAGUUCUUGUUACACAAGUCUGGGAUUUCAGCUGUACAACUGGGAUCUCAAAG